CUUAUUUAGUGUUUUUAAACAUUACUAAGAAUAGUGAUCUAAGUCCAACAUGUGGUCAAGCAAUUUGUUGCCAAAAAUUAAGACUCUCUACUUGAGGUAAAACGUCACAACAAUGGUCUAACCACAAGUUGCCUAGUGUACAGUAUGUCUACAUAUUCCCUAUGUUGGGCUUUAAACCAUUGAUCUGUAUCAGAACAAUUAGGAAUUUUCAUUCAUUUUUGUCAUUAUUAUUGACUCAAAUAUUUUUUUCAUAAAUUUUUUUUCUGUUUCUCUCAGGCUAAAGAAAACUUCUGUAGAUGAAACAUCGUCAGAAGAAUCAUCUGGUGGCAGUCCAAUGGCUAAUGUAAUGGCAUCCAUAGGUAUUGGACAGGUCAAACUGAGAAAAGCUAAGGUAGAAUAAAAAACCUUUAGCUCCUGCUGAUCAAAUUGCUAGUAUGAUUGCAUCAAUAAGAAGUGGUAAAGUCGUUUUAAGGAAAGUACAGAAAGAAACAAAGGUAUGAUUACAGAAUUUUUAGAUGACGCAAACAAUGUAAUGAAUGAAAUGGCAAAACAAAUAGUAAGUUAUGCACAUGCAUAGCACAUGUAUACCACUAAUAAUACAUCAUAUUUAAAUUGUACAAAGUACAUGUACAUGUAUGUAAUACCAGUAUAAUGUACAAUGUACACAUUAAUAUUAACUUAAAGGCUGCUGGGCCAAGGAGAGGUAGGACUCCACCAUCAAGAAAAGAUAUUCAAGAAAACAAAUCAGCAAAAAAUGAGCUGCUGGCAAAAUUGAA